rnacentral:rRNA from 1 species
AGUGAACGCUGGCGGCGUGCUUAACACAUGCAAGUCGAACGAGAACGGGUUAUAGCUUGCUAUAAUUGUCAGCUAAGUGGCGCACGGGUGAGUAAUGUAUAGGUAAUAUGCCUCUUACUAAGGGAUAACAAAUGGAAACGUUUGCUAAUACCUUAUACUCCUUAUUAACAGAAGUUAAUAAGGGAAAGAUUUAUUGGUAAGAGAUUUUCCUGUAUUGUAUCAGUUAGUUGGUGGGGUAAUGGCUUACCAAGACUAUGACACAUAACUGGUUUGAGAGGAUAAUCAGUCACACUGGAACUGAGACACGGUCCAGACUCUUACGGGGGCCAGCAGUGGGGAAUAUUGCACAAUGGACGAAAGUCUGAUGCAGCAACGCCGCGUGGAGGAUGAAACAUUUCGGUGCGUAAACUCCUUUUAUAUGAGAAGAUAAUGACGGUAUUAUAUGAAUAAGCACCGGCUAACUCCGUGCCAGCCGCCGCCGUAA